rnacentral:rRNA from 1 species
GGGGAAUAUUGCACAAUGGGGGAAACCCUGAUGCAGCGACGCCGCGUGGAGGAAGAAGGUCUUCGGAUUGUAAACUCCUGUUGUUGAGGAAGAUAAUGACGGUACUCAACAAGGAAGUGACGGCUAACUACGUGCCAGCAGCCGCGGUAAAACGUAGGUCACAAGCGUUGUCCGGAAUUACUGGGUGUAAAGGGAGCGCAGGCGGGAAGACAAGUUGGAAGUGAAAUCUAUGGGCUCAACCCAUAAACUGCUUUCAAAACUGUUUUUCUUGAGUAGUGCAGAGGUAGGCGGAAUUCCCGGUGUAGCGGUGGAAUGCGUAAAUAUCGGGAGGAACACCAGUGGCGAAGGCGGCCUACUGGGCACCAACUGACGCUGAGGCUCGAAAGUGUGGGUAGCAAACAGGAUUAGAUACCCUGGUAGUCCACACCGUAAACGAUGAUUACUAGGUGUUGGAGGAUUGACCCCUUCAGUGCCGCAGUUAACACAAUAAGUAAUCCACCUGGGGAGUACGACCGCAAGGUUGAAACUCAAAGGAAUUGACGGGGGCCCGCACAAGCAGUGGAGUAUGUGGUUUAAUUCGACGCAACGCGAAGAACCUUACCAAGUCUUGACAUCCCUUGACGAUGCUGGAAACAGUAUUUCUCUUCGGAGCAAGGAGACAGGUGGUGCAUGGUUGUCGUCAGCUCGUGUCGUGAGAUGUUGGGUUAAGUCCCGCAACGAGCGCAACCCUUAUGGUCAGUUACUACGCAAGAGGACUCUGGCCAGACUGCCGUUGACAAAACGGAGGAAGGUGGGGAUGACGUCAAAUCAUCAUGCCCUUUAUGACUUGGGCUACACACGUACUACAAUGGCGUUAAACAAAGAGAAGCAAGACCGCGAGGUGGAGCAAAACUCAGAAACAACGUCCCAGUUCGGACUGCAGGCUGCAACUCGCCUGCACGAAGUCGGAAUUGCUAGUAAUCGUGGAUCAGCAUGCCACGGUGAAUACGUUCCCG